UGUUAAAAGUUUUAUUCAUUUCUACUAUUAAAAACUAACGCAACUAACAGAAUAACCAGACAAUUACAAGUGGUCUGCAACAUAUAGCUCUUGUUGACAUACAAAUACCAUUUUUUAAUGGUAAAAAAUGGAUGAAAUUUUUAAUA
rnacentral:pre_miRNA from 1 species